rnacentral:lncRNA from 1 species
UGGCAGUACUCCAGAUUUCAACUGAGGCCUCAUGACUGUUAAGUUAUCUGCUAAGAGGGCUUACCCACACACCUGCCUGUUCCUGAUCUUGCUGUUUUUUUUUUUUUUUUUAACCAUGAUAUGAUGAUUUUAGAAAUUUUUUGUAUUUAGGGAUAAUUUGAAACACCAGAGAACCUUUGUUUCUAGGUUUGGAUGAACCUUCUUAUCUUGAACUGCCGAUCAAGUGCUGGGGUUCCAGCACCGGGGUUGUGUGACUUCUUCUUAAUGCUGAAAUAUUUAUAUCAGGUAUCUGAGCAUAUUCCUGGCACACAAAAAUUGUAAUGUCUAAGCAAUAGAAUGAUAUGGUUGAAAAAAUAAACAAAAAUUAAUUGCUUGAGCAAUAACCUGCAACUAUCCGAAUGUCCUGGUAACAUUUUCAGUACAAGAGCAUGUGAUGAUGUUAUGCUCAGAGGAGAAAUUAUUACACCAAAAUGAACCCUAAAUGCAUGGAACUCUCUUUACAACUCAGGUUUUGAAUGUUAGUUUUUAAUCCCUUCUAUCUCUGGGAUUAUCCUGAAAAUAAACUAGCUCUGAGAAAUGGAACUGUGACUUUUAGUCAGACUUUUCUUUCUGAGCUGUGCAAAAAUAAAUUUUUUAGAAAGUUGAGACUCCUCUUGGCUAAAUUGAUGCUUUGGUGGACCUAAAUCCCAAAGUAUCUUGUUGUGUCUGGUAGUUUUUAUUUUGAAUGGGAAGAAAAAGUAAGGAAUACUUUUCUUCUAAGAAAAAAAUAGCGAAUCUCUAGGAACAUUGUGUACACAAGUGAUUGAAUUAUAUGAAAAAAAAUAAGUUUUAGGGAAAGGACUUUUAUGUAGUCUUGGAUUUUUGACUUCUAAGUUGUUAGGUGUAACAGCAUAUAAGCUUCAGUAGGAGAGUGGCCAUGUCAUUUUCAUGCCUAUUGCUCAUUAUAUAUUUACCAAGUUCCUUGGAAUCCGACAUGCUGGGCAUUCGUAGGUGUUUGAGACUUUCCUGAGCUUCCUUCUCCUUUCCUUUGAACGGGCAAACUUGGGGGACAUAAGAUAGGCUUAUAGGGCUGUCAUAGACAAGAACACACUUGGUGAAAUUUGUACAUCAUUUUCAAUAUUUAUAUAUCCUCAAGGUAAACUUUGCUCAAAACAUUUUCGUGAUUUUUCAGUUUGUUUAUUUUUUUCCUGGCUGUCUUGACUAGUCAGCUGUUGUUUCUUGUGAUUGUUAGUAAACAAAAUCACUUAUUUACCAUGAAAUUUGGAUACAAACAUUUAUGCAUACACGAGAGGAAGAAACUUUGGAAGGAGAUGGUUUUGGAGUUCCCUGGUAGCCUAGAAGUUGGGGCUCCAUGUUGUCACUGUUGUGGCUCAGAUGGAGGUUCCCAGGCUAGGGGUCUAGUUGGAGCUACAGCUGCUGGCCUACGCCACAGCCACAGCAAUGCCAGAUCCGAGCCAUGUCUGUGACCUACACCACGGCUCGUGGCAACGCUGGAUCCUUAACCCACUGAGCGAAGCUAGGGAUCAAACCUGCAACCUCAUGGUUCCUAGUCAGGUUCGUUUCCACUGUGCCGUGACGGGAACUUCCCCCGCCCGGGUCUCUCUUUCAUUUCUAAGUGUAUAAUUGUAGUGAUAGGAAUUGUUCAUUUUUAAGGCUUUAGAUACUUUUUUGAAGGUCAUUUCUCUCUUUUUUUAAAGUUUUGUUGAAGUAUAGUUGUUUUAUAAGUUUGUGAUAAUUUCUGCUGUACAACAAAGUGAUUCAGUCACACAUAUACACACAUCCGUUUUCUUUCAGAUUUUUUUUUCCCACAUAGAUUAUCACAGGAUAUUGGGUCAAGUUCUAUGUACUAUAUAAUCGUUCCAGAUACCUCAGUGCAUAUGCCAAUCCCACACCCCAGUGCAUCCAUCUCCCCCCACUUGUCCCCUUUGUGAAGAUCAUUUCUUUCUAAAACAGUUAACUAGAGCUAAAGAACACAAUGUCUUCACAGAUUCUGCAAGAUGGAAGUAAGGCCCACAAUACUUGGAUUACCAGCUACCACCCAAUUUGCCAUGUCUUCUAAUUGCAGAUGUGUGAGUGCAUGUGCAUCCGUGAUACCAGUAUUGUGCUACCCUUUUUGUUGUUGCAAACAGAGUUUUAGUUGGUCCAUCGCUAGUAAAAGUUUUUUUGAAGGCAUUGUAUGGGGAAAUAAGAGAUAAAGGUGACCAGGUCUUAAGGGAAUCUAGAAGUGAAUGUACAAACUGGCUUCACUGUAUAGGUUUCAACUAUGUGUUAAACCGGAAAAAUUAACCCACUCUAGUGACUGGGUGUUGCCCUCUUAGCAGCAGGAGUAUUGCUUCUCUGCUAUUAGCCCUUCUCAGACUCUGCUUUCACUUAAAAACAAAAACCCUAGUUACCUCAUUUGGUGUCUUCUCAAUGUGGAUAUAUAACCGCCUCGUUACUUCCGCCGCUUGCCUUCUGUAUCUUUCAACUCCUUUGCCUCUCCAUGUAGUUUGAAUUCAGACUCUUGUAAGAGAAAAUCUGACUGGUUCAGUACAGGCUCUUGUAGGCAAGUCUCCCACGCCAGUCCGCUUCAAAGGUUGCUGGCCAGAGUGUGCUCUUCGGAGCUUGGCUGUCCUGGGACAAGGUGCUUUGUUUUUCCUGUCACUGGUGAUCAUGGUGGCAGAGUCGGUAGCAUGGAACAUGACCCUGGACCCAGUAAAAGAAACCUUUUGGUGCCAGGUUUUUACAAGAGGGGUCUGGAUAGCUCUAGAAUGUAGUAAUCAUUCCAGUACACGUGGUUUUCUAACAUUUUGAAGGUGCUAGAAGUAAAGGGAACCUCUGGGCUUGACUGUUAACAUCAGUGCAGCACUAACAAUUCUUUCCAUACUGAGAUGUGGGAGAGGGUUUUCUCAUCAGCAUCUGCAGUUCCUUUUCUGAACUGCCUGUCUUCAUCUUUGGCUUUGCAGCUUCCUAGACAGCCUGAGUUUUCACUCAGAAACAGCCAUUACACAUCCUGUAAUGGCAUAUUAGGUCAUUCUGUCAGUUGCUGCUAUUUUCCAGACACCCACAGUUAUGCAGCACAAUUUGAGGUGGUGAUGUAGUGACUCUGUAAAGUAUUGAUUCUGCCCUUCUAUUUUCCACAUCUGAGCUUACUCUGCGGUAGCUGCUUUAUUUCGUCUCAGUCGUUCCUUCAGUGAUAGACACUAUUGAGUGUUCAUCGUGGGUCUGGCACCUUUCCAUUCUUCUGAGAAAGAAUCAAACAGUGUUUAAAACAUGGAUUUUUAAGAAUCAUGCAUACCUGAGUUCAAGUCCUGCCUCCUUUACUUACUAACUGCAUUUUGGCCAAGUUACUUAGUUUUGCUAAGAUUUUCUCAUCUGUAAAAUGACAGUGUUAGAAACUGUGUUAUAGUGGGUUCGUUGUAGGAGCUUUUAACAGUUUAGUGAUGUAGUAUAUGCAGUAUACUUAGCACAGUGCCUGGCCCAAGAGCUCGACAAAUAGAUAUAAAUACUGUUUCAGUGAUCACUAAAAAUUGCUAUCAUUUUGCUGCCAAAAUACUUUCUGGCACUUGCCAAAUAGUUUCUGGUUAUCUUGCUUUGCCAUUUGAUGUUCGUUGCCUUUUUGUUGGUAUUAAUCCAGCCGUUUAAGGAAAAGUCAGAUGUAACAUCUGUGAUGAAGCCAAGAUAGCAUAGUCUAAUGCAUAGUUUUGAGUAGCAAAAUUCAAAACAGUUUUCAGUUUUAUUAUUAUUUUUUGUAACCAUUGGACUACAGGUAUAAGAACUUAUUCUGAGUAUACAAGAAAAAAUUACGUCUUCUCUUUGUAUCACUAAUGCCUCUGCUAGUGUGCCUGGCAGAUAACUGGUUCUAAGAGAAUGUUGAAGGAAGGAAAGAUGGAAGGCAGGAAUAUUACCUCAGUUAUCUUCAGGCUUAUCAUUAGUACACAAUAUCUCUUUGCUUUAAGCUUCUUUUCCCAUUACUUCAUCUUGAUCUAUAUAGCUUCUGUACCCGUGAGUUUCUCUUUAUUUCUGUUACUGAAGGCUUCUGUUUCCUGACAUUUCGUUUGAGCCUCCUAGCAUCUGCCGUUGCUCCUAAGUAAUGGUGAUAGAUUCAAACCCAUGGGAGUGCUGUAUUGACUGAAUACCCUGAUAAAUAAUCCAUAAUCAGUUACACACUGUAUGGGUAUACAUUUAGUGAUUUUCUUAAAAAGAUUAACUUUUGUUAAAUUUAUACACAUUAAAUUCUGUGAAAUGCACUUUCAUAUUCCACUCCCAGAUCUAAACAAAGUAAGCCUACAAGUGUUGAUUGCCUCUUCUGUCAUUUGUGUAACCUUAGGAAUUUAGUUAUUUCAUUUUUCCAGUUCUGACAUUGCUACUUCAGAACUUUUACACUGUCCUUAGAGCCUCCAACCUGAUUGUGCUUCCUUGGUAAGAGACAACCUUGCCUAUAUCAGUGGCAAAAGGUAGAGAACAUUUCCUUAUGCUCCUCAUGUGUUCGCAUACUAUUCUGUUUUAGCAUGAAUUUCCCUAUACCGUAGUUGUUUAUUUUGAUGUCUUCCUUCUCCAGUAAGGUCUUAGGAGACCUGUGCCUUGGUCACCAUUGAUUCCUCAGGGCCUAGGGUAGUUCUUGGUGUGUAGUGGAUAUUCAGUAAAUACUUGUUGAAUGAAUGAACAAUAUAGAACCAUGCCUGUACCAUUCACUUGUAAACCAUCUGCAGUUUUUUUCUACCCUUACAUUUUUAUUGAAAGUUCACU